UACGUAGGGUGCGAGCGUUAAUCGGAAUUACUGGGCGUAAAGCGUGCGCAGGCGGUUUGUUAAGCCAGAUGUGAAAGCCCCGGGCUCAACCUGGGAACUGCGUUUGGUACUGGCAAGCUAGAGUACGGCAGAGGGGGGUGGAAUUUCAGGUGUAGCGGUGAAAUGCGUAGAUAUCUGAAGGAACAUCAGUGGCGAAAGCGACUUCCUGGACCAAUACUGACGCUCAUGUGCGAAAGCGUGGGGAGCAAACAGG
rnacentral:rRNA from 1 species